UUUCUGCUGAGGACGACCGGUCCGCCCUCUGGGUGAGUAUCUGGCUUGGCCUUGGCAUCUUCUUGGAGAACGUAGCUGCACUUGACUGUGUGGUGCGGUAUCCAGGACUUUUACUUUGAGGAAAUUAGAGUGUUUCAAGCAGGCACACGCCUUGAAUACAUUAGCAUGGAAUAAUAAGAUAGGACCUUGGUUCUAUUUUGUUGGUUUCUAGAGCUGAGGUAAUGAUUAAGAGGGACUGACGGGGGCAUUCGUAUUACGGU
rnacentral:rRNA from 1 species